rnacentral:lncRNA from 1 species
UAAUACUUUGUUUAUAUAUUUAUAUAAACUUCACAUAAUAAUUAUUAAUUUAUGAUUAUGGUGUGACCAUAUAUUUUUAAAGGUGUUUCAAAAUUUUAAUAUCUUAUCAAAUUGUAAUACACUUAAAACCGGCCCAACUCCAAAUCUGAAGAAUUUUUUAGUUUAUCAUAAUUAAUUUAUCGAAUAUCACUGUACAAUUUUUGAAACAAUUAAAGAAGACAACUACAUAAUAGAAACACCAAUUAGAGAUUCAAAAUAGAACUUAAAGUGGAGAACAAAGUUUAUUUUGAGAUUUGACUCAAGACCAAAGAUUCAUACAUCUAUUCA